rnacentral:rRNA from 1 species
UACAGAGGUCUCAAGCGUUGUUCGGAUUCAUUGGGCGCAAAGGGUGCGUAGGCGGCGCGGUAAGUCGGGUGUGAAAUUUCGAGGCUUAACUUCGAAACUGCAUUCGAUACUGCCGUGCUUGAGGACUGGAGAGGAGACUGGAAUUUACAGUGUAGCGGUGAAAUGCGUAGAUAUCGUAAGGAAGACCAGUGGCGAAGGCGGGUCUCUGGACAGUUCCUGACGCUGAGGCACGAAGGCCAGGGGAGCAAACGGG